rnacentral:rRNA from 1 species
UACGUAGGUGACAAGCGUUGUCCGGAGUUACUGGGCGUAAAGCGCGCGCAGGCGGCUCGUCAAGCCUGACGUGAAAGCCCCCGGCUCAACCGGGGAGGGUCGUCGGGGACUGGCGGGCUUGAGGUCGGCAGGGGUUGGUGGAAUUCCCGGUGUAGUGGUGAAAUGCGUAGAGAUCGGGAGGAACACCCGUGGCGAAGGCGGCCAACUGGGCCGGACCUGACGCUGAGGCGCGAAGGCGUGGGGAGCGAACGGG